AAAUCGGGAGGAUACUUUUGUGAAAAUUGUCUUCAGUGUUAUCACGUUAAAAACACUACUCACAACAAAUUUGAAUGAGGAAAAGUGGCUUCGUUUUAUCCAGAGCCUAACACAAAAACGUCGUUUAAAGGAUACCACAAGAAAUUAUCUCCUCCGAUAUUGAGGCUGUUCUGGAAAGUUACAGAACAUGCCUAAAUUCACCAUCAUCUUCGUCAACAACAAAAGUACAGAAGCAUACUGCCUGUGCAGUAUCAUUUUAUGUUGUACACAAAUAUAAUCCUAGUUAAAAUGACUUGUGGACAUACGACGGUGAUGAUUGCAUGCAAAAAUUUUGUACAGCUCUGAAACAAAAAACUUCGAGUCUGUACAACAUAUAUUGGUCAACCCCCAAGAAACCGAGUGUCAGCCCCAUAGAUGUUCGCGCCCAAGAAGUUGACCACAUCCAAGACGGGCAACUGGGAAGGUUUCCCACAACAUA